GACGAACGCUGGCGGCGUGCCUAAUACAUGCAAGUAGAACGCUGAAGGAGGAGCUUGCUUCUCUGGAUGAGUUGCGAACGGGUGAGUAACGCGUAGGUAACCUGCCUGGUAGCGGGGGAUAACUAUUGGAAACGAUAGCUAAUACCGCAUAAGAGUAGAUGUCGCAUGACAUUUGCUUAAAAGGUGCAAUUGCAUCACUACCAGAUGGACCUGCGUUGUAUUAGCUAGUUGGUGAGGUAACGGCUCACCAAGGCAACGAUACAUAGCCGACCUGAGAGGGUGAUCGGCCACACUGGGACUGGGACACGGCCCAGACUCCUACGGGAGGCAGCAGUAGGGAAUCUUCGGCAAUGGACGGAAGUCUGACCGAGCAACGCCGCGUGAGUGAAGAAGGGUUUCGGAUCGUAAAGCUCUGUUGUAAGGGAAGAACGAGUGUGAGAGUGGAAAGUUCACACUGUGACGGUAUCUUAACAGAAAGGGACGGCUAACUACGUG
rnacentral:rRNA from 1 species